rnacentral:lncRNA from 1 species
GAGGUGGCUCCGAUGAGGACCCUCAGACGCUCAAAUCAUAUUUCUAGCAAUAGAAGAGAAAGAGCGAGUCUUUUUGAGAGGAUGAGGUGGCAUACCUUUGGAUCCCUGAUUUACCUUUUUUUUAAGGAGCGUUUGGAGCUUUGAGAAGAUGAAAGGUCAUAGAAAGUCUUUUUGCCCUUCGUAAUAUCUUUGGAAACUGUGCCCGCCCCUUUGAUUCUCUGAGAGCCAGAAGGAUAGCGUUACCUCAUGGCAAGUGGGAGCUGCUUAUUUUUAUUGCAUGGAAUGAUGGCUAAGGCCUUGGGAAUGGUGAGAUUUUAUUUAUGGCCAUCCUUUACA